GAUGAAGAACGUAGCGAAAUGCGAUAAGUAAUGCGAAUUGCAGAAUUUCCGUGAGUCAUCGAAUCUUUGAACGCACAUUGCGCCCACUGGUAUUCCGGUGGGCAUGCCUGUUCGAGCGUCAUUAUCCUCCCUCAAACCUCUGUGUUUGGUGUUGGGCCGCGUUGGCGUCACAGCCAACUGGUCUCAAAGACAAUGACGGCGUCCGUGGGACCCUCUUCGCAACGAGCAUCUUCGGAAGCACGCGUCGAGUCUAAGGGACCUUCCGGGCCGGUCUACCCUUUAUCUUUCUAAGGUUGACCUCGGAUCAGGUAGGAAUACCCGCUGAACUUAAGCAUAUCAAUAAGCGGAGGA
rnacentral:misc_RNA from 1 species